rnacentral:ncRNA from 1 species
GUGUCGGAUGAAAGAAGAGAGGUGAGCACUGCCCUACACGAGACGGAAGAGGCCCGGGGCCUGACCACACGCAUACGGUUAGGGCAUUGCCACCUGCCUCCAUUAGUCCGCACAGCAACCUGAGAUGCGAAUAAUUACUAUUCCCAUUUUAUU